AACGCACAUUGCGCCCUCCGGUAGCCCGGGGGGCAUGCCUGUUCGAGCGUCAUUUUAGACCAUCAAGCCCUGCUUGGCUUUGGGCGUCUUCGUCCCCUGUAAAGGGGGGGCGGGCCCUAAAUCAGUCGGCGGCCGAGUCGAGCCCCAAGCGUAGUAGAUUUUAUUUUUCCCGCUUCAGGAGGUUUUCGGCGCGAGCCUGCUACAAAUGACAAAAACACAACCUCAAGGUUGACCUCGGAUCAGGUAAGGGUACCCGCUGAACUUAA
rnacentral:misc_RNA from 2 species